UCAUACACAUACAACUAAGUUAUGAUGACACAUGGUUUGUCAUAAUUUUCCACACCCUUGAGACUAUUUACGUGAAUUGUAUUACAUUACACAGAGAGCUCACUGACUAACAUGGUAUGUCUUGAUCAUACAAAAAGCAAGUUGUAAAAUGUUGUGGUUUUGUGGGAAUUUAUGUGAUUGACUUCCUGGGUUCUGUGUAAUAAUGACAGAUCCAAGCAACCCGAGCAUCCACGCAACCAGAGAUACCGUCAUUCGGUGUUUGAUGGUGUACCCUGGGGAAUCCACGGAUCAACUCUUAAAAGAAUAUGAUGAUGCAGUGUGGCGCAGGACCUUGCCACACAAAAGAUAAAAAUCUAUACGGUGGAGGGUUCUGAUGAUGUCGGUAUCGUUUUAGAGGGACUAAAAGUUGUGACUGCUCUGGAUAACAUUCUGAGGGCUCGCUGCAUGCUGGUUGGGUUGGCGUAUGCAGUCAACCUUGCCUAUCCCAACGAGCUCCGAUAUACUUUCGAGGUCUUUCAGAAACUCCUACUGGAGCUGGACUGUUCAAAGCUGUCCCCGAAAGUAAACAGCCUCAAGAACAAACUGUUAACCUAAUAGAAUGGACCCUUGUUGAACAAUUUAUAUGUCACUGUUCAAAACUCACCUGUGAUUAAGUUCAACUCGUUCAAUGCUUAAGUUUAUUAUUUUUUUAAGGAUCCCAGUGAGAAGUGUAGUUGUGCCAUGUUAUUUGAUGCACAAGCAGCUGUUCAUGUAGUGUUUUAACUGUAAGCCGGAAUUGCAUAUUGUGUGUUUUUAUAGAGAAGUUUGCACAUGAAGAAUUUUAUAUAAAUGUAACAAAUUUGCACAAAUAAAUGUUUACCUGCUGUA